UGGGGAAUCUUGCGCAAUGCGCGAAAGCGUGACGCAGCAACGCCGCGUGGGGGAAGAAGGCCUUCGGGUUGUAAACCCCUUUCAGUUGGGACGAAGCUUCGACGGUUAAUAGCCGUCUGUUGUGACGGUACCUUCAGAAGAAGCCCCGGCUAACUACGUGCCAGCAGCCGCGGUAAUACGUAGGGGGCAAGCGUUGUCCGGAAUCAUUGGGCGUAAAGCGCGUGUAGGCGGUCCGGUAAGUCCGCUGUGAAAGUCGGGGGCUCAACCCUCGGAUGCCGGUGGAUACUGUCGGGCUUGAGUACGGAAGAGGCGAGUGGAAUUCCUGGUGUAGCGGUGAAAUGCGCAGAUAUCAGGAGGAACACCAAUUGCGAAGGCAGCUCGCUGGGACGUUACUGACGCUGGGGUGCGAAAGCAUGGGGAGCGAACAG
rnacentral:rRNA from 1 species